ensembl:misc_RNA Metazoa_SRP Metazoan signal recognition particle RNA
GCCGGGUGUAGUGGUGUGUGCCUGUAAUCCCAGCUAUUCAGGAGGCUGAGGUAGGAGAAUUGCUUGAACCCAGGAGGUGGAGAUUGCAGUGAGCUGAGAUGGUGCCACUGUACUCCAGCCUGGUUGACAGAGCAAGACCCUAUCUCAA